UACGUAGGGCGCAAGCGUUGUCCGGAAUUAUUGGGCGUAAAGAGCUCGUAGGCGGCUUGCCACGUCGGAUGUGAAAGCCCGGGGCUUAACUCCGGGUCUGCAUUCGAUACGGGCUAGCUAGAGUGUGGUAGGGGAGAUCGGAAUUCCUGGUGUAGCGGUGAAAUGCGCAGAUAUCAGGAGGAACACCGGUGGCGAAGGCGGAUCUCUGGGCCAUUACUGACGCUGAGGAGCGAAAGCGUGGGGAGCGAACAGG
rnacentral:rRNA from 1 species